rnacentral:sRNA from 2 species
UCGGGUGGCACGCCGAACCCUGCCCCCACCCGAUGAGAAUCAAACCUGCGGCAGGGACGGGGGAACCAAUUCCGGGCGCCGAAGUCGGGCGUCCUAGGGGUGAAGCCGAGAACCGCGGCCGGGCAUUCCCAGCCCGAACCCGACAGCUCACCUCGCAGGCGUGGGGAAGGGCAACU